rnacentral:lncRNA from 1 species
UGAAUAAAUUUGGUGUUAUAAUUGAAUUGUAUGGUGGUGGAUUUUUUAUAUGAAUAGAAAGUUUGAAUUUUUUUUUUCAUUUAUCCACCUAAAUGAUUAAUUCGUAUGCGAAUUUUCAUUUUUAAUCCCAUAUUUGUUAUUGUUUAAGCUUUCGCAUGUGUUAGUUGAUAUCAUAGUUAGUCUAUGCAUCCAACAAUGGAUCGAGGAUGACAAGUUAAACGUCUUGUUUUCAUGGUUGAUAAUGGAAACUGUAGACAUGAGCUAAUACGAAUUUGUCAAUAUCCUGAGGUCGUGACACAAAAAGGUGGCCAGAUUGGUUAUCCCUCCACAAUAGAUGAUGAGUGACCUUUAUGCCGAUAGGCGAGAGGCAGGAGGCAGUGGCCAUGGCGUACAUGUUAUGGCGAAAAGAGACUGGUGCAAUGAUGGGUUUAGUUGAGAGCUUGACUGUAGAUAUGUUGCAAAUGGAAAACUCAGAGAUAGAGAG